CUACGGGCGGCACCAGUGAGGAAUAUUGGGCAAUGGAGGCAACUCUGACCCAGCCAUGCCGCGUGCAGGAAGACGGCCCUCUGGGUUGUAAACUGCUUUUGUUUGGGAAUAAACCCUUCUACGUGUAGGAGGCUGAAGGUACCAUUCGAAUAAGGAUCGGCUAACUCCGUGCCAGCAGCCGCGGUAAUACGGAGGAUCCAAGCGUUAUCCGGAUUUAUUGGGUUUAAAGGGUCCGUAGGCGGGUCUUUAAGUCAGUGGUGAAAGCCCACAGCUCAACUGUGGAACUGCCAUUGAUACUGGAGAUCUUGAGUGUAGUAGAAGUAGGCCGAAUAGGGCAUGUAGCGGUGAAAUGCAUAGAUAUGCCCUAGAACACCGAUUGCGAAGGCAGCUUACUAUGUUACAACUGACGCUGAGGGACGAAAGCGUGGGGAGCAAACAGGAUUAGAUACCCUCGUAGUC
rnacentral:rRNA from 1 species